rnacentral:rRNA from 1 species
GAUGAACGCUGGCGGCGUGCCUAAUACAUGCAAGUCGAGCGAACGGACGAGAAGCUUGCUUCUCUGAUGUUAGCGGCGGAGGGGUGAGUAACACGUGGAUAACCUACCUAUAAGACUGGGAUAACUUCGGGAAACCGGAGCUAAUACCGGAUAAUAUUUUGAACCGCAUGGUUCAAAAGUGAAAGACGGUCUUGCUGUCACUUAUAGAUGGAUCCGCGCUGCAUUAGCUAGUUGGUAAGGUAACGGCUUACCGAGGCAACGAUGCAUAGCCGACGUGAGAGGGUGGUCGGCCACACUGGAACUGAGACACGGUCCCGACUCCUACGGGAGGCAGCAGUAGGGAAUCUUCCGCAAUGGGCGAAAGCCUGACGGAGCAACGCCGCGUGAGUGAUGAAGGUCUUCGGAUCGUAAAACUCUAUUAUUAGGGAAGAACCUAUGUGUAAGUAACUGUGCACAUCUUGACGGUACCUAAUCAGAAAGCCACGGCUAACUACGUG